UACAGAGGGGCCAGCGUUAUUCGGAAUUAUUGGGCGUAAAGGGCGCGUAGGCGGCCAUGCGUGUCUUCCGUGAAAUCCCUCGGCUUAACCGAGGACGUGCGGAAGAAACUGCAAGGCUCGAGUCCGGAAGAGGGGGGCGGAAUUCCCAGUGUAGCGGUGAAAUGCGUAGAUAUUGGGAGGAACACCAGUGGCGAAGGCGGUCCCCUGGGCCGGAACUGACGCUGAGGCGCGAAAGCGUGGGUAGCAAACGGG
rnacentral:rRNA from 1 species